UUAAGCGACUAAGCGUACACGGUGGAUGCCCUGGCAGUCAGAGGCGAUGAAGGACGUGCUAAUCUGCGAUAAGCGUCGGUAAGGUGAUAUGAACCGUUAUAACCGGCGAUUUCCGAAUGGGGAAACCCAGUGUGAUUCGUCACACUAUCAUUAACUGAAUCCAUAGGUUAAUGAGGCGAACCGGGGGAACUGAAACAUCUAAGUACCCCGAGGAAAAGAAAUCAACCGAGAUUCCCCCAGUAGCGGCGAGCGAACGGGGAGCAGCCCAGAGCCUGAAUCAGUGUGUGUGUUAGUGGAAGCGUCUGGAAAGGCGUGCGAUACAGGGUGACAGCCCCGUACACAAAAAUGCACAUGCUGUGAGCUCGAUGAGUAGGGCGGGACACGUGGUAUCCUGUCUGAAUAUGGGGGGACCAUCCUCCAAGGCUAAAUACUCCUGACUGACCGAUAGUGAACCAGUACCGUGAGGGAAAGGCGAAAAGAACCCCGGCGAGGGGAGUGAAAAAGAACCUGAAACCGUGUACGUACAAGCAGUGGGAGCACAGAGCAAUCUGUGUGACUGCGUACCUUUUGUAUAAUGGGUCAGCGACUUAUAUUCUGUAGCAAGGUUAACCGAAUAGGGGAGCCGAAGGGAAACCGAGUCUUAACUGGGCGUUAAGUUGCAGGGUAUAGACCCGAAACCCGGUGAUCUAGCCAUGGGCAGGUUGAAGGUUGGGUAACACUAACUGGAGGACCGAACCGACUAAUGUUGAAAAAUUAGCGGAUGACUUGUGGCUGGGGGUGAAAGGCCAAUCAAACCGGGAGAUAGCUGGUUCUCCCCGAAAGCUAUUUAGGUAGCGCCUCGUGAAUUCAUCUCCGGGGGUAGAGCACUGUUUCGGCAAGGGGGUCAUCCCGACUUACCAACCCGAUGCAAACUGCGAAUACCGGAGAAUGUUAUCACGGGAGACACACGGCGGGUGCUAACGUCCGUCGUGAAGAGGGAAACAACCCAGACCGCCAGCUAAGGUCCCAAAGUCAUGGUUAAGUGGGAAACGAUGUGGGAAGGCCCAGACAGCCAGGAUGUUGGCUUAGAAGCAGCCAUCAUUUAAAGAAAGCGUAAUAGCUCACUGGUCGAGUCGGCCUGCGCGGAAGAUGUAACGGGGCUAAACCAUGCACCGAAGCUGCGGCAGCGACGCUUAUGCGUUGUUGGGUAGGGGAGCGUUCUGUAAGCCUGCGAAGGUGUGCUGUGAGGCAUGCUGGAGGUAUCAGAAGUGCGAAUGCUGACAUAAGUAACGAUAAAGCGGGUGAAAAGCCCGCUCGCCGGAAGACCAAGGGUUCCUGUCCAACGUUAAUCGGGGCAGGGUGAGUCGACCCUAAGGCGAGGCCGAAAGGCGUAGUCGAUGGGAAACAGGUUAAUAUUCCUGUACUUGGUGUUACUGCGAAGGGGGGACGGAGAAGGCUAUGUUGGCCGGGCGACGGUUGUCCCGGUUUAAGCGUGUAGGCUGGUUUUCCAGGCAAAUCCGGAAAAUCAAGGCUGAGGCGUGAUGACGAGGCACUACGGUGCUGAAGCAACAAAUGCCCUGCUUCCAGGAAAAGCCUCUAAGCAUCAGGUAACAUCAAAUCGUACCCCAAACCGACACAGGUGGUCAGGUAGAGAAUACCAAGGCGCUUGAGAGAACUCGGGUGAAGGAACUAGGCAAAAUGGUGCCGUAACUUCGGGAGAAGGCACGCUGAUAUGUAGGUGAAGUCCCUCGCGGAUGGAGCUGAAAUCAGUCGAAGAUACCAGCUGGCUGCAACUGUUUAUUAAAAACACAGCACUGUGCAAACACGAAAGUGGACGUAUACGGUGUGACGCCUGCCCGGUGCCGGAAGGUUAAUUGAUGGGGUUAGCGCAAGCGAAGCUCUUGAUCGAAGCCCCGGUAAACGGCGGCCGUAACUAUAACGGUCCUAAGGUAGCGAAAUUCCUUGUCGGGUAAGUUCCGACCUGCACGAAUGGCGUAAUGAUGGCCAGGCUGUCUCCACCCGAGACUCAGUGAAAUUGAACUCGCUGUGAAGAUGCAGUGUACCCGCGGCAAGACGGAAAGACCCCGUGAACCUUUACUAUAGCUUGACACUGAACAUUGAGCCUUGAUGUGUAGGAUAGGUGGGAGGCUUUGAAGUGUGGACGCCAGUCUGCAUGGAGCCGACCUUGAAAUACCACCCUUUAAUGUUUGAUGUUCUAACGUUGACCCGUAAUCCGGGUUGCGGACAGUGUCUGGUGGGUAGUUUGACUGGGGCGGUCUCCUCCUAAAGAGUAACGGAGGAGCACGAAGGUUGGCUAAUCCUGGUCGGACAUCAGGAGGUUAGUGCAAUGGCAUAAGCCAGCUUGACUGCGAGCGUGACGGCGCGAGCAGGUGCGAAAGCAGGUCAUAGUGAUCCGGUGGUUCUGAAUGGAAGGGCCAUCGCUCAACGGAUAAAAGGUACUCCGGGGAUAACAGGCUGAUACCGCCCAAGAGUUCAUAUCGACGGCGGUGUUUGGCACCUCGAUGUCGGCUCAUCACAUCCUGGGGCUGAAGUAGGUCCCAAGGGUAUGGCUGUUCGCCAUUUAAAGUGGUACGCGAGCUGGGUUUAGAACGUCGUGAGACAGUUCGGUCCCUAUCUGCCGUGGGCGCUGGAGAACUGAGGGGGGCUGCUCCUAGUACGAGAGGACCGGAGUGGACGCAUCACUGGUGUUCGGGUUGUCAUGCCAAUGGCACUGCCCGGUAGCUAAAUGCGGAAGAGAUAAGUGCUGAAAGCAUCUAAGCACGAAACUUGCCCCGAGAUGAGUUCUCCCUGACUCCUUGAGAGUCCUGAAGGAACGUUGAAGACGACGACGUUGAUAGGCCGGGUGUGUAAGCGCAGCGAUGCGUUGAGCUAACCGGUACUAAUGAACCGUGAGGCUUAACCU
rnacentral:rRNA from 1 species